rnacentral:rRNA from 1 species
GAUGAACGCUAGCGGGAGGCUUAACACAUGCAAGUCGAGCGGCAAGGACUUCGGUCCCUAGAGCGGCGCACGGGUGAGUAACGCGUAUGCAACCUACCUUAUACUGGGGGAUAGCCCGGAGAAAUUCGGAUUAAUACCCCAUGUGACUGAGAUAUCGCAUGAUAUUUUAGUUAAAGAUUUAUUGGUAUGAGAUGGGCAUGCGUGACAUUAGCUAGUUGGCGGGUAACGCCCACCAAGGCUGCGAUGUCUAGGGGUUCUGAGAGGAUGAUCCCCCA